UAGGAUAAGCCAGAAAGGUGGCACUUGU
rnacentral:piRNA from 2 species